UACAGAGGUCCCAAGCGUUGUUCGGAUUCAUUGGGCGUAAAGGGUGCGUAGGUGGCGCCGUAAGUCGGGUGUGAAAUUUCGGAGCUUAACUCCGAAACUGCAUUCGAUACUACGGUGCUUGAGGACUGGAGAGGAGACUGGAAUUCAUGGUGUAGCAGUGAAAUGCGUAGAGAUCAUGAGGAAGACCAGUGGCGAAGGCGGGUCUCUGGACAGUUCCUGACACUGAGGCACGAAGGCCAGGGGAGCAAACGGG
rnacentral:rRNA from 1 species